AUACGGAGGGGACAAGCGUUAUUCGGAAUCACUGGGCGUAAAGGACGCGUAGGCGGGUUAUUAAGUCGGGUGUGAAAUCCAAUGGCUCAACCAUUGAACUGCAUUCGAAACUGAUAACCUAGAGUAUGGAAGGGGCAGGUGGAAUUAGUGGUGUAGGAGUAAAAUCCGUAGAUAUCACUAGGAAUACCGAAAGCGAAGGCGACCUGCUGGGACAUUACUGACGCUGAGGCGUGAAAGCGUGGGGAGCAAACAGGAUUAGAAACCCUAGUAGUCC
rnacentral:rRNA from 1 species